rnacentral:lncRNA from 1 species
UCCCACUAUGCGUGAACCCUUAUUCAACAUUGUCAACUAACCGGUCGUCCCCAUACCCCCUCCUGUAUGAGCGCCAAAAAUAUCAUCCCUCAAUACUCCGUCCGGUAUGAGGGUGAAACGGGUCGUCCUCAUACCUCAUCCGAUAUGAGCACCAAAAUAUUAAUCCUUGAUACCCCAUCCAAUAUGAGACAACGCUCGCGGUAGGGUUUCCUAUGUACCCGAUUCGUCCACUAGCUUCCAAUAUAUCCAUUAAGGCUACCUUCAUUCAUUCACUUA